GCCGGGCGUGGUGGCACACGCCUGCAAGCCCAGCAAUUUAGGAGGCUGAGGCAGGAGGAUCACAAGCUUGAGGCCAGCCUGGGCAACUUAGUGAAACCCUGACUCAA
rnacentral:sRNA from 1 species